AGGCCCAUCCCUCCUCAAACUGUCUUUUGCCCUGCAUGGAGUUGCUCCAAACUGGACCAUGCUUUGGGAAAGCUCAGCUUCUGCUGCAAUGGGACAGGUCUGGAGAAGCUCACAGCAUUUGUCUGUGGUGGCUGGAUGGUAGUGCUCCCCCCCCCCCAAAGCCUGGGAGCCCCCCUUGGUUAUCUCUGCAAAAAUCCAAGUGAUUUUGGUCUUCUUUGGAAGUGUCCCAGUUGGAGACCCCUCUCGCCCCUCCCCACUUCUCCUUUUCUCACUCCACUGGACAUCUGUCCGUGCCCUUCUCUCCAGCCUGGCUCAGCCAAGCCACACGGUUCCUGCUCACCUUCCACCCUCUUCCACCGUGCAUCCCCCUUCCCCUGAAGCAUCUGAAAAUGGUUCCUCCUCCUGGCUCUGAACCAAAAGUCACUCCAGAUCAGGCCAGAUGUUCACCAAUCUCUUUUACAGCCUAUAUACUCUCCUUCCCCUCCAGUGAGCACACCUCCCCCCCCUCCUGCUGCGCUCACCACUCUGGCUGGAAGGGAAGCCUGAUGGGGGAAGGGCAGGUGCGGGAGGAAGUAAUGAGACUGAGACAAGAGCUGCCUUUAAAGAGCCAUCAGGAGGUGCUAUUUGCCUCCUUCCAAGUGUAUUCCCCACCCCAUGCCCCUGGGUCUGGCAGAGCUCCUGGCUCCAUGUUUCCCUUGUGCCAUGCCAAAAUGCCAGCAUGCCAGGAAGCCACCAGCCUGCUAGCAGGUAUCACCUUACUAGCUGAACUUGAGCACCAGGUCUCUUGGGACCUUUGGCCAGAUCCACAGCCAGUGUAUAUCAGCGAGGCUCCCCUGAAGGCACCAGCUGAGCUUUCGAUGGCAGAUGCCAUAGAUGCAGGCUCCAUGCCCUUGGGAGCCUUCCUGGAACCACUUCCAAAGAGGUCUCUCAUUCCAUUCCUUAGAUGCCACCAGGAAUAGAAAAGAGGUUUCUAUGACCUGGCUGCCUCCGAUGGCAGGGGACUGCACUCGGUGACCCCAGCGGUAUUCAAAAUGGAUAGGCUAGUGGGCCUACCACUGCCCCCUUACAGGGCGAUGUUGGCACUACUCUGUUAUUUUGUAGAUCGAUCCCUCACUGCUCACUGUCCAACGGGAUUCUUUUUUAGCUCAGGUGGGAAGGGGGUUUUGGAGCAGAGGGAUCUGAGUCCUAACCUUGCUGCAAAGUCAGUAGUAGUCAAAAAAUGCAGCCCAGUAACGGCCCCAGGACAAGUAUUAGCCAUACAAUAUAGCUGAAGAAGCCAUUCCAAUAGCUUAGUCUUCUGCUGGGGUCAAGUUCAGUCCAUGUGCAACACUGAUCUCUUGCAAACAGCUUACACUGGACACAUACGGGCAACUUAUUUAUAAGUAGGGAGAGACAGUCUAGGACUCAGCAGAUGUGGGUGCAAAUCACAAUGUACCUUAGCUUUCCCAGCAGUAAAGCAGGAGGCAGCAAUUCUGCCCUGCCUGUUUAUUUUUCAGAUUAGAAAUAAAGCACAGUUUUUUCCAGAGCAAGAUCAUAUAAUCCCUGAAACACCUCAUCUUGGGGGGCAAUGUUAAAAUCAGGGUUGGAGACCCUGGUUCAACCACCAUGCCUGGGUUUGAAGCAGGGAUUAAUUCUGGGUAUGGUCUGCAUUAUGCUGCAAGUCAGAAGAGAUUACCACCAUCUAAGGUUUGGGAGGGAUGAGUCUACACCUCUACAUUGGGACCUCUUCAGGGCGGGUACUGUUGCCUGCUAAGUGCUUAUACAGCACCCAGAAGAAGGUUUCCAAGUACCAGGGCAGCAAAGGUUUGGAGCAACCUCCCAGGAGGGUCAGUGUGGGCCAGAAACCUAUCUGCAACCAGGAAGACAUAGUUGGCUACUAAGAACAUGCUAAUAAGGAAGGUAUUGAAGGGCUAGACCGGAUUCCCUAGAGAGGCUGUGGAAUCGCCAUCACUGGAAGUUUUUAAGAGCAGCUCAGACAAACACUGGGCUGGGAUGCUUUAGCCAGGGCUGGUCCUGCCUUGGGGAGAGGGGAUUGGGCUAGGUGACCUCCUGAGGGCCCUGCUAGCCCUGUUUUCCUAUGAUUCUAGUUUUAGGAUGGAGCUCAAUCAGCUUAUGAAUGGGCCAUUCUGACACAGUACCUGUAUCAGGAGGGUAACAGAGCAAGUGAUUCAUGUGGUCCCUUCCACUCCUGUUUUCCUAGCAAAAGGUUCUUGAUGGAAGCCUCUUCAUUCUACUGCAAUGCCAAUAAUUAAUUAAUACUGGCAGAUGGAAACCCUGAGCUUUGCUGCUAACAAUCCACAGUGCUUUAUUUGUCACUCUCCAAACAGACCUGCUUGUCUUGCCAUUAAGGAUUUUGGGUAGUUAAUUGAACAGGCAUUUCCUUUACCAAAAAGUACUAUAGUUAAAAACUACCACUAGAGGGCGCCUGUAAUACCAUGUGCAUCUAACCCUGAUUUAAAGCAAAAUGUGUCCUGAACAGGAUGGGCCUCUGCUUUCAUGUCCAAUAUCUUUAUAGCAUGUAAUAUCAGGGCUCUGUGCUUUUGUCUGGAGGGAGUUGAAUGUGGCCUUUGCUACUAGCUUCACUUCGGUUUGUUGUUGCAGGUAUCAGCAGAUGGUGCUGUUACACUCAAGUCUUCCAUUUUCUUACUGUACAAGCAAGUUUUGAUUCUUGGGGAAACACACUGGGCAUGUCUACACAUGCAUUUAUGCCGGCUUAAAUUUACUGUGCAGUAAAUUACUGCACAGUAAGCAGGAAUAGACUGGUAUCUACACAUGCAGGCAUUAAAGCGCAUUAACUCAGUGUGUGGACUGACUUGGGACUAAAGUCAGUCCCAAGUCAGUCCAUACACACAGUGUUACUGUGCAGUAAGGUGUCUACAUGUGUGUUACUGCGCAGUAACUAAUCGGGUGUAAAAUUGAUACCUGCAUACUGCAGGUAUCAAAUUUAUGCUCAAGUCGGCAUAAGUCACCAUAUUUACUGCGCAGUAUGGGCACGCACAUGUAGAUGUGUGCCUGUACUAUGCAGUCAUUUUGGUUACUGCACAGUAAAUGUGCGCAUGUAGGUGCGCUCACUGUGUUGUCCCUGCUUUUGGGUUGGGCGAGGUUUAUCCAGGAGCAGCUUUGGGAGCUAUCUGAACAGCAGGAGAGUUUACUCGGGUUGGUGUUAGUUCCGGCGGCAGAUUAGCUGCUUGUGUUGAAGUAUUGGUGCCAGGCUGAGAGACAGGUUUGCUUACAUGUAUGUGACCAUCUCAUUCCCAGAGUGAUGUCUGUGUGUACAUAGGGAAGGUGCCAUUUAAUAUAAACACAGACUACAUGAUUCUGACUUCUCCUGGGUGGGUAAGACAGCCCACAAGGUGCUGGACAUCUGCUGCUCAUAGGCAGACGGGUGGUGAUGGUAUUAGAAGAGGGAAAAUAGUGCUUACACUGUGCCCAUCUGCAAAAUAUAUUUGGCCUGAAAAGCAGAAUUGCCCCUGGAAAGAGCUGUUUUUCCAUUCCCUCAUUAUCCCAUUUAUACCUUUACACAUAUAGUUUGCUGGGCCCAGCAGGGACAAUUACCAAUCUACAGUAUCACGGCAGGCAUGCAGAUACUAUCAGACUAGAUCAGGCCAGUGGUCUUCCCAGUCCAGUAUCCCAUUUCCAGCUGUGCUCAAGACCACAUGCUGCAGAUGAGGGUGCAAGCAACCCCCUUAGUGGCCAAUUAUGGAAUAAUGUGCCAAGGGAGGUUAUUUCACAAAAUGCUUUUCACCCUGCAAAGUACCCCCGAAUGUUCUCAUUUUCACGUUGGUGUCUGAUCCAUUCAUGGAUCCUUUUAAUUUUUUUCAAAAUUUCAUUUUCCUCACAUUUUUCUGCAAAGAAGUUAAAUGGUUGCUAAAUUUCUGAUAUUGUUCUUUGUUUGCCCAGUUUCCUCCUGUUCUUCUCUCCUCUUCCCCUACUUUUCCACUAAAGAAGUGAGUUAUGAAAAAAACAAAACCAGAAAACAGGUUUAAAAUAACCCAAUCUUUUUCCUAUUUGGCUUUAAAAAAAUGGAAGAUUUUUUAAAAUGGAAAAACUGGAACAUGUUGUAGUAGGGAAACAAGUAUUUUAUGCAAAAAAUGUUCAUUUUGAAAAAAGAGCCAUUUUUCUUUAGAAAGAAAAGGUUUGAAUGUAAUGUUUUAGGCCACUCAGCUUUUUGGUCAGUUGAAAAUUUGUCAUCUUCAGUUGCAUUUUAUAUCCUCUUGCUCCUGUCCUAUAAGAAUGGAUAAAAAUAAAUAGCUGAUUAGGGGGUUUGAUGUUUUAAUUGGUACUGGGGAAACUCCUGGGAGCUCUGGGCCUGGAUGAAGACAUCCCUCAUGCUUGGUGCUAUAUAAACAUGGAACUAAAAGAUGGACCCUGCACAAAACCAUCCCCAGUCACAGGAACGUUCUCUCUCACAUUCAUUAUUUUGUGGACAUCUAUUACAUUUCUUCUCUGAACCAAUCUCCAUCUUCCCCUGCCCUGGCCUGCCAGCCCUUCCUCAUGUAGAAACCUAGUCAUUUUUGUCACCCAUCAAUGCACUCUCUUCUCUUUUCACUCUGUCGUUUAAGACUGAGGCUGACAAGCAAGGGGCAUGGGAGUUGAGAUUCCUGAGCUUGUGACCCAUGUUUAUGGUGUAACUUUGGGCCAUGUUGUAUCAUCUCUCCAUGGCUGUGAAGGCCAGUAAUCAUCUCAGUGGGUUUGUGUGGCUGAAGAUGAAAGGGGCUACAGAAGAAUGAGGGCUUGUUGUGAUAUUAAAUACUGGCAUUAAAAGUGGCUUGACUUCGUUGGGUACCCCCAAUGCUUCUGCUUCCAGCCCAUCUCCUUCCCACUCCCAGGAUCAGGUUAGUGACCCCAGAGCCUGGCUCUAUCCUGGGCAGCUUCUUCAAAUGUGUCUGUUGCCUGGAGGACAUCACGCUACCUUGUCUGAUCAUCCUGUGCACAGACCUGUUGCUUAGCAACAAUCAGUACAUUUUUAAUAAAUCCCUGGCACUGGGGCUUCCAGGUCUGGGGGUUUGUUAUUAUUUUUGGUGCAUUUUUCUCAGGUUUUAAAGAAAUGUCUGCUUGACUUGAAGGACUGAAGCUAGAAAUCAAUGAGAGGCUGGGUGUCCAGUAGGAGCCAACAGGUGAUUGGCUAGAGGAGAGUGACAUCCAGGAUAGCACUGGAACAGCUGACACCACUGCCUGACCUAAUCACACUCUCCACACUCAGGGCUCAAGGCAGGGGAGAAAGAAAGGUGAGGGCUUUAUGGGGUUAGUGCAUGAGCCUCUCACACCAGGACCCUUGGCAUCUUAUUCUUAGUCGGGUCAAAGUUCAAGGUACAAGUCCAGUUCCCUCAGCCCAUAUUCCUCCCAAAGGAAAUUUCAGCCAGGUCCCCCCAAGUCACCAUCCAGGGCACUGCAGCUCACUGUCUUUGCUCUUGAGAGGCAUUAAGCUAAGUUGGUAGAGGAAGGAUGGGGCAGUGGCAAGAGAAUGAGCCUGAGGUUUGGAAGAUCAGGGUUGCAGGGUCUGCCCUCCUACAGACCCCCUGUGUGAUCUUGGGCAAAUCAUAUAACUUCUCUGCUCCCUGGCUGUAACUGGAGGUGAUGGCAUGGCUCUGCUGUGAGGAGAUAUGCACCCCAAACUGCAAGGCACUGUGGUGAUAGGCAGAUAUGCACCACAGAGGAUACAGUAGGAGCAAAGGGGAAGACCUUUCUGCUGCUGAGCUCAUGGGUUCAGAGCAGGCUGCAAGGCAGGCUGGGGGUUGGGGGUGAAGAUGGAGCCCUGUGUAUGUCAGGCAGCAGGAGAAACCACAGGCAGGGAACCAGAUCCGUGAAUUCCCAGACCUUCUCUUUCCUGAGCAAAUGAAGCCCCAGGUUGGGGAGGUCCACAUGUGAGACCUGCCUCUGGUUCUGCCUUUUGCUUGGGCUCCUUGGGGUUUUUAUUUCUGCCUGCCUGGGAGACUCCCACUUGGAGAAUUUACUGCUGAGAAGAUCUGGGGGAGGAGUUCCCCGUGGGACAGGCAGUGACACCAGAUUUAUUUGUAUGGCAGCAGGAGAGUGUGAAUCUUGCUCCCCGACAUGUCAGAGGCUGCUCAUGUUAAUCAAAGGCCAAGUCUGUUCCCUGCUGGAGGAAAGUGGCUUCCUUCCCACUUCCUCCCCUACACCUUUGCCCUGGGAAAUCCCAGUGGAUGGAGCACUGCUGAGACCUUGCAGGUCCAACAGUGGGCAGCAUCUGCUCGGAGUCUGUGACAAUUGAUUGCUAAGCCCUCCUUCCCUGGGAGACCACACAGCUUCCACAGCACAGUGUCCUUGUAGGGAACCUUCAAACCUGCCAUCUCCAUGUCCAAGCCCUGUGGAGGACAGAUGGAGCAUCUGCAGCCUUCCAAAGCAACUCUGUGCAGCAGUGAACUAUAUCUCAGAGGUUAAAGAGCAGGGCUGGUGACUUUGACCAGCACAGCCCAUGGAGUUCAUCUUCAGUAGGAUUGUUGGUUAGAGGAAAGGUCUGGGAGUCAGGAAUCCUGGGUUGUAGUCUCCUGUUUGCCACUUAACUGCCUUGCUGGUGGCCUUGGGCAGAUCACAUAGCCAUUCUGCUUCAAUUUACCUACCAGCACCUAAAGCUCUCUAGUAUAUAGAAGCAUUGAGAGGUAGUGUAAAGGCUAGGAACUUGAUUCUCUGGCACUCUCAGAUACUCUAGGAAAACAAAGCAGGUGUUGUAACCUGGGGGCAUUGAAGAUUUGGCACCUUUCUUGGGGGGAAGAAAGAAAACUCUUGAGUGCACAUUUGCCAGGAGGUGGAACCAGGGACAUAGGGACCAGGACCAGAUGGUGUAGCCUGCCACUAGAGGAGCGGGCAUUUCUGUGAUGGGUGUUGUGGCUGGACCCAGCUCAGCAGCUGGGAUCACACAAGCAUGUGUAAUGCCCUUUCAGGCUCUGAGCCUGCAGACUCGUGGCUAUAGUUCAUCAGGAGGUAGGGGAUGAGGGACUAUUCCUUUCUGGCCAGCAGUGAGGCUCAGGUUCUGUGCCAUGCCCCCAGCCCUAAAUGAUUGCUACCCUCACAGGGGCCCAUUUUAUGUAAACAGGCAAAAGAAGGAAGGGGAACUUGGCAGGUCUGUGCCUGGUAGGACUGUUGGCCAUGACCAGGGUGAGAUGAGAUUGGAAGGGGCCUGCAUGCCAGGCUGGGAGCAAGAGGUGUUCAUGUGUGAUUGGGAGUGGGUGUGGAGAUGCACAGGAAGCCAGCUUUGUGUGUAUGGGUCCAUGUCUGUGCACAAGUGGCCAGUUCUGCAUGCAUGUGUGUGUGCGUGUGUGUGUGUGUGCGCACGCACACAUGCGCAUGCAUGCACAGGAGACUAGCCCAUAUGUGUGUAGGCAGACCCUCUCUAUGAGUGUGCAUAUGUGUACACACCAGGGCACCCAGCUCUCUGUCUUAAGGUGGGUGUGUGAGUACAUGGCAAUCAAGAUUCCCAGGCUGUGAGUGUGCACACAGAAUGGGUGAUCAGCAAGAGAGCUAUGUGUGUGUGCGCAUGUUUGUGAGCAAGCGAGCUGCUUUCCUGAGCCCUUGCCUGUGAGUCACCAGACAGCUUUGCUUUCCGUCCUUCAGUCUGUCAGAACCGUCCCUCCCGUCGUAUUUUAUGCGAGAAGACGCUCUUUGGAGAAUUGAUAGCUCUCUGACCCCACCUGUUCCCGAGCUCAGUAGAAGCCCAUUAAUGAAGUUGGGCUGAACAGGAUCCCAGCCAAAUCCUCAUGUCCUCAUCAAAGGAGACAUCUGUCCCCACCAAGAAGGAAGAUAUCACCCAAGAGGGAAAAGGGAGGGAGGGCUGGGAGGCUAAGGGGGAGUGAGAGAGAAAGAGACUUUCCCUUUGAUAACAACAUCCUCAAACUGCCCCUUGCAAACACAUCCUGCUCCAUUCUCAGGCCUAUGAAUUCCACCGCAUGGUGUCCAAAGUGGAGGGGGGGUGGAGAAUGCAGCCUUGACCCCAGCGAACCAAGCCCCCGAUAUGCAUCCUUCUCCCCCCACCAUGCUUGCCAGUCCUCCCUGAGUACAAAGCUACCUUGCAAUCAUGUGCCAAAGCGACUGACUUUCUUUUAUUCAUGUGUUGUUUUAUUGCUGGCAAAAGCUGUCGGAGGAUGGCUCCUGCCAAACGCGUCCCCAGCAUCUUGGCCUAACAUACAAACGGCAUGCUAAUGCAGAAAUUUAAAGAGGCUCUUCGGUUUAAAUCGGAAUUUUAAAUGAGAGUGAAUGCACAGAAGGGACCCAGGCAAAAGCUAACAAUAUCGCCUCCCCCCCUCCCACACACCUGGUAAUUUGAUGGGCAUGGAUGACUGUGGAAAGAAUACACCGCUUGGCUUGUUUGCCUAUGGUUGAGGCAAAGAGACUGACCAAUGUUGGGGAAUGGCUUGUGUGGAGAAGAGGCCCAGCGCCAGAGAGUUGUCCCCCCCAGCCUCUGCCCUGCCCAUGUCAAUAUGGACAGGGAGAUGCCAGUGGUAUGCUCUUGAACUUGGAAACAUGAGGGAGGGCAGAGUUAAGGGGAUGGGAGUGUCACCCCUUGAUUCUUCUGUCCUGUGGCAAACCAUCCUGAAUUGAACAGCAGGGUUUUAGAGAUGAUUGUCUGGGGAAAGAAAGGCUUCAGCCAGUGUUCCAGAGCAAGUCCAUAACCACAGGCCUCCUCAUGCAUGAGAACCCAAAAUCCACUUCAUUUUAAUGGCAGGGGCUGAUCAUUGAGGAGACAUCCCUAGGAGGGAAGCUGGGAUGACUAAGGAGGGCAUAUCUCUGCGUGAGAGCUAUGUUGGUUUUGCUGCUGGUAACUGUUAAAUGCCUGAGUCUGAAAAAGCCCCUGGCAGCCAAGCCUAUUGCCUUCCCUAGGAGCAGGAUUACACUCUCACCCAAGACAGUGGAGGUCUGCAGACCCCGAAGCACGUACCUUAUCUAGUCUGGGUCAAGGGACUCACCUGCUGAAGGUGUUUACAGGAGCAGGGCUUUGGGUUGUGCAAAGCUUUCAUUUUUCACUGCACUAGGGCCUUCAUUCCUUUGCCUGCCAGUGUAAUUUUGCAAGUCACUGUGCUUCUCUGCAGGAAAACCCAGCCCAUGAAGCUGCAAAUGUAACGUGCCGCUUUAAUUAUCAAAGAGCAGGAGACUUUGUUCUCAAACCAUUGGUGUGGUUUCAAAAGCAUGGGCUUGUGAUGAAAUCCCAGGAAGGAGAAGGCAGGAGAUCUGUGUUCUUAGACCACACCUUGCUCUGGGUUGAUGCAGAUGUUUACUUGUCUUGUUGCCCUGUUAGACUGUAAGCUCUGUGGGGCAGGGGCUGUUUGCACAUGUUUAUGCAGUGCUUUGGUCUCAGUUGCAUGCAACACUUUGUCAAUUUGCUCACAUAAAUAGCAUUGUAGAAGA